rnacentral:rRNA from 1 species
UACGUAGGUGGCAAGCGUUGUCCGGAUUUACUGGGCGUAAAGAGCGCGCAGGCGGUCGUCCAAGUCGCGUGUGAAAGCCCCCGGCUCAACUGGGGAGGGUCACGCGAUACUGGUCGACUCGAAGGCAGGAGAGGGUAGUGGAAUUCCCGGUGUAGUGGUGAAAUGCGUAGAUAUCGGGAGGAACACCAGUGGCGAAGGCGGACCAUCUGGACCAGCACUGACACUGAGGCACGAAAGCGUGGGGAGCAAACAGGG